AGUGAACGCUGGCGGUAGGCCUAACACAUGCAAGUCGAACGGCAGCACAGUAAGAGCUUGCUCUUACGGGUGGCGAGUGGCGGACGGGUGAGGAAUACAUCGGAAUCUACUUUUUCGUGGGGGAUAACGUAGGGAAACUUACGCUAAUACCGCAUACGACCUACGGGUGAAAGCAGGGGAUCUUCGGACCUUGCGCGAUUGAAUGAGCCGAUGUCGGAUUAGCUAGUUGGCGGGGUAAAGGCCCACCAAGGCGACGAUCCGUAGCUGGUCUGAGAGGAUGAUCAGCCACACUGGAACUGAGACACGGUCCAGACUCCUACGGGAGGCAGCAGUGGGGAAUAUUGGACAAUGGGCGCAAGCCUGAUCCAGCCAUGCCGCGUGUGUGAAGAAGGCCUUCGGGUUGUAAAGCCCUUUUGUUGGGAAAGAAAAGCAGCAGGUUAAUACCCCGCUGUUCUGACGGUACCCAAAGAAUAAGCACCGGCUAACUUCGUG
rnacentral:rRNA from 1 species